rnacentral:misc_RNA from 1 species
UCGAAACCCGCCUGGAGCAGACUUGCGAACAUGUUCAUGCCUGAUGGGUUUCCCGGUCCUUCGAUCGCAACCCAUCACCCGACUGUCCUCGCGCAAAUGAGUGCGGCUGUCGGGUCCAACCAACCCACGACGCGGCAAGCGUCAAGGAUAACAACGGCGGAGCGACGCCCUCGUUACUCACCCAUUUUUUGGCGUGAUGCUCUUGUGGCGCUCGACUCUCAUAAUUGAGUACCGAAAAAAU